rnacentral:lncRNA from 1 species
UUGGCUACUAGGUUCCUAAUAGAGUGGUUUAGCCUCUCGUGGUUACAAGAGACUUUACAUUUUAUGAACUAAUAUGGAUGAAAGAAGGGAUUGAAUGACUAAAAGAAAAUAAGGGAGGAAUGGUUGAAGAAUGAGGGUUUCCCCUAUUAGAGAUGCUCAGGCUUUGGAUAUCUUCAAUAUAGAGCUCUUUGAGACUCGGUGUGUUUUUCCCUUCUACUUCCUACUCAUUUUAUAGGCCUAAGAUAGUUUACUUUUCAUGCUGACUUUGCGUUGAGCACGCACUCUGGGGCUUAGUGAGAAUAACGGUUUAAUCACGUGUUUAGCGCGAUGUUCGCGCUAAGUACGACCUUGUGCUUUCUUGUGGGUCUUCUUCACGCUAAGCGUGAGUUAGCCACUAAGCGAGCAUGCAUGUUGAGUUGGUCUUGUGCGCUAAGGGAGCUGUCCAAUUCUUUCAAUUUUUUUCAAAGUUUUUUCUUUCAAUUUUUGCAUUAAUUUUCUUCUAAAGCAUUUGAAAUAUUCUUCUUUUGACUUUUGCUGAUAAAAAAUUACAAAAAUAUUAAUUUCUUCAUUAUUUCAUUAAAAACAACAAUAAAGUAAAAAAUUGUAAUCAUUCUUAACCAAAAUUGACUAUCAAAUUAACUCAAAUUUCUUAAUUAUCAUACAUACACCUUAUCUUUUGGUUUGAAAUUCUACAAUUUAACACUCUAUGUGGCAAUUAUACUAUGAAAGGAUAUGCACAAUUUUAAGGAAGAAGAAUGAGAGAACCAUUAAUACUGUCCACUAAAAACUCAAAAUUUUAGGGACCAAAUAAUAAAUACACAAAAUAAAUUUAACAGUUAAAAUGUCGACUUAUUAUAGCAAGUCGUUUUUAAUGACUAUCAAUGAACCACAUCAUAUGAGACGGUUCACCCUAGUCCGAGCCAUCAAAAUUAAAAGCAAACAAUGUAAUGUAAGGAUACACUACCUAAAACAAACAUACUCAACAAAAAUAUGGCAUUUAUCACAAAUAAAUAAAGUAUAUAUAAACAUAUCAACUAAAGUUAUUUGUUAUACAAUAAGACAACUCUGUCAUAUCAUUAGCCACGACUUUUCAAUGUGUAAAUGAUGUUAACAAUAUGAUUAAUGCAAUAACUUCUCAAUGGCGACAAAGAAUUGAGAGACCAACCAGAUAUAUCCCUUAAUCAUGGUAAAAUUUACCACCCAAUAGGAGCCAAGAGCAACAUGUGUAUUUGAGAGAUUUUGGUCCUGAUUAUGGAGCACAAUGUUCUAGUUAGAGCAUAAUGAAGAUUUUUUUAAAGAAUUUCUUAAAUGAAGAAAUUGAUUUUUUAUUGGAAUAAACCUAUUUGACAAGAAUUUUUUUUUAAAAAAUAAGAUAUGUAUCUUACAUGAGAAAUUAUAUCUUAGCAAUAUAAAAUAAUAUUUAUUUGAUACAUAAUAAUAUCAUAAUUAAAUUAUAAUUAACUAAAAAUAGAAAAAAAUAUAAAAAUGUGAUUUUUUAAAGUUUUUUUAAAAAAUUUAGAGCAAAAUUGUAUAUAGAUUUCAUACAAUCACACAACACUUUCGGGACCAAACAAAUAACUUAAAGAAUGUUAAUUGGAGAUGCUCUUUCGAGCACAACGCGGUUGAAAAGUCAUGGCUUGAAUUGUGGAAUUGUGUCAUCGACGUACUGAUCUCAAUCUAUCGAUCUAUUUAAUUAUUAGGAAAUUCCUAAAAUAUUUAUUUAUAUUAACUCAUUAAUUAUUUCCUUAAAAUUCUCAAAAUCAAUAACGCAAGGGAUCAUCUUAACUAACAUUCAUUAUUGUCAAUGGUACUAUGGCAGCAUGUAAUGUCUCUUUUUUUGUCUAGAUUACAAAAUUGAAUAUUAUUUAUCUACCUUAGAAUUAAUAUUAAAAAAUUAAAAAAAAAAACAGAUUUUGAAAGGAUAAAAACAAAAAGGAAAUAUAAGGGCAAAACCAAGAUUUACUCUUAUUUCAAGAACAAGAAAUAAUAAUUUCAGAAUUUAAAAAUAAAAUAAUCAAAAUAAAAGAUAAAAAUCAAACCUCAAAUAAUAAACAAAAUAUGAAAUUCGAAUAGAUUUUUUAUGAAAUAUACAUUGAAUGUUUACCUUUGAUUCUAUUGCAGUUUUUUUGUCCUUUUUCUACAUUGAUAGAGAAUGAAAAAGUCGUUUUAUUUUGUUUUUAUAGUCAUUUCAUUUCUGUCAAACCUUAUCCUCAUAACAAAAUUUAGCGGUGCUCGUUUGCGGGUAUUGGUGUAAAAUAAAAGAAAAAUAUUAUGUGGAAUUAAUUUAAUUAAUAUAAAUUAUUUUAAUGAAAAAAAAUAUAUAAAGAUUUUAAAAUAGAUAUAUUUAAAACUUCUAAUUUUCAAAAUGUUAAAAAUUUAUGUUAAUUAAUAAAAAUAUGUUUUAAUGAUUAUAUAACACUCCUAUUAGUACAUUAAGCAAAGAAAUAUAAAUAUUAACUGAAAAUAUUAAAUAUUUAGAAACUCCCAUUGAGUUUUCAAUAAUGCUAAAUUUUAUAUUAAAAAGUGAUGCUGGUGGAAGAAAUAAAAAAUGACCUUAUUAUGCUACAAGAAAAGUUAUUUGGAUAGCAAAGUAUGUGUUAACCAAUUGCUACAGCAACAGCAAGAAACUAGUCAGUAACUAACAACCAGCCAGCAUUAAUUGCAACGUAGUUACCAGAGAAUUAAUUAUCAAUGAAUUCAUAAUAUUUUAGCAAACAUUUGUAUGUCUGAGGGUUCCUUUAGAGAGUAUUAAUUUACAGAAAAGCUCCAUAUAAAUAUAAAUAUAAAUAUAAAUAUAGGGUUGGUUGGUUGUUGCAUUUGUUUGCUAACAAAAAUUAACAAAUCUAAAAAAUAUCAUUUUUCAAUAAAAAAAAAGUUUUAUAUAAUAUAAGUUAUUACUACAUAUUUAAGAAGAGACCCGCUUGGUGAUGAGACAGAGGUCAAGUACCUGCAUCAAUGAUCUGAACAGUUAAUGCUCAAACUGCGUCCACUUCACAAAGAACCUUCCAAAAACCUUUGUCCAAGGCAAGGUUUAAACCAUGAAUAAGAAAAUGAAAAUUUUGAUCAUAAUUUCAUACAACAUACCCUAAAUUCUUUACUACAAGGCUGACACAUUAGUGGAUUCAACACAUUAAAUGAGCACCGGUUAACCUAUUCGUGAGAGUAAAUUAUGCUAACAUUUCUUGAAAAUUCAAAAAAUUAUACAUUUUAUAACAUUUAUAACAAUCUCCCGUAGAAGAAAACAAAGUAAUAUUUUUUCAAACAACUAACGAAUUAAGUGUAAUAUAUAAGAGGUGUUAAUAUAAUUUUUUUAAACAAUUAAGGAGGUUAAUGUAAGGAUGAAAAAAAAGUAAAAAGUAGCACGUGUAAUUUCACAAAAUCACAUAUGGUGGUAAAUGUAAUCUACUCUAUUUUUUAUGAUUCAAUUAUUAACAUUUGUUCCUUUAUUUAUUUUAACAUCAGUAUUUUUUUUAAGUAAACAUCGGUUUCUUAAUACUGAUACUAAUGCAUUUUAAUUUGAUACCCUUCUAUCUCAUAAAAUAUGCUAAACUCUAUUUAUAAAUAUAAAUAUAUCAUUUCGUCAAAAUAAAAUUAUAAUUAUAUCACGAAUAUUUUUCUUGUUGCCAAUAUAAUUAGAGUCGGUUUCUGGAUAAAAUCUUUAAAAAAAUUUCACAAGUUUUAAUUUUUUUAGACUAAUUAAUUAUAAGACUAAUUUUUGUUUAGGAGCUUAAAUGCACUUAAACUCCUCAUUCCUCUUCAUCAAAUAUGUGCAAGAAAAUCAAAUUCAAUUCUUAUCCUAUAAACUUAUCUUGUCUUAUUAAUAUUGACUUAGAGCCCUAAAUUUUAAUGUACGUCCUCUUCACCCCUUGCCCUACACUUGACUUUUUCAUUCUUUACAUAUCAAUGAAUAAUCUAUUUAAGGACAGCAUUAUUGCAUAUCUCUUCAGGCCUUACAAUUCACAAACUUAAUUAACUCGGAUGGAUUUUAUUCUCAAUUACCUAAAUGUCACUGCCAUUGGAUUUGUUUCUCUAAUCCUCUUCUGUUUGUUUCUGUAUAAUCCCCUCAAACUUGCCCAACGUAAAAAAGAGGCUCCUACAGUUUCAGGUGCAUGGCCAAUACUUGGUCACCUCUUACUAUUGAGUAGUUCAAAGGCACCCCAUAGAGUUUUGGGUGCUUUGGCUGACAAGUAUGGACCCAUAUUCACCAUCAAGCUUGGUGCCAAAAAGGCUUUGGUUAUCAGCAACUGGGAAAUAGCUAAGGAAUGCUUCACCACAAACGACAUCGUCGUUUCGUCUCGCCCCAGGCUUGUUGCUGCUGAAAAUAUGGGCUACAACCAUGCCAUCUUAGGGUUUUCACCCUAUGGUCCUUAUUGGCGCGAGCUAAGAAAGAUUACAACGUUAGAGAUCCUUACAUCUCGCAGAGUGGAGCAACUACAGCAUGUUCGUGUCUCCGAAGUUCAAAGUUCGAUCAAAGAACUCUUUGAUGUUUGGCGUAGCAAAAAGAAUGAGUCGGGCUACGCGUUGGUGGAUCUGAAGCAAUGGUUUUCUCGCUUGACAUUCAACAUGGUUCUUCGAAUGGUCGUUGGGAAGCGAUAUUUUGGUGCUACAACUGUUGAUGAUGAUGAUGUUGAGAAGGCACAAAGAUGUGUAAAUGCUAUCAAGGAUUUCAUGCGUUUGUUUGGGGUAUUCCCUGUGGCAGAUGCUAUUCCUUAUUUGAGAUGCUUUGAUUUUGGUGGCCAUGAGAAGGCCAUGAAAGAAACUGCCAAGGAUUUGGAUAGUAUCAUAAGUGAGUGGUUAGAGGAGCACAGACAAAACAGGGCUUUGGAUGAAAACGUUGAUCGAGUUCAAGACUUCAUGGACGUGAUGAUUUCCUUGCUUGAUGGAAAAACAAUUGAUGGGAUCGAUGCCGACACCAUGAUCAAAUCCACAGUACUGGUAUGCAUAUGUUCAUGCACGUACUUGUUUUAGUUUGUUAGAGACUUUGCUUACGUAGUUAUCAACCAGAGAAAUGUUAGUUUUAGUUUGUUAGAGACUUUGCUUACAUAUUUAUUACAAAGAGAAAUGUUAAUGGCACUAAUUUAUAUUCUUUUUAAUACUGCAUGUGAUGGGUUGAUAUUUUUGAAAAUUACACAUUUUUUUGGGUCUUAUUUAUCAUUUGAUAAUUAUUUCUCUUGAUUUAAAUAUAAAAUUUAUCAAAAUUAAUAAACUUUUAUAAAUUUUAGUUAACUAUAGAAAAAAUGUUCAAAAAGAAAGUGUGCAAAAGAAUAGUAUUGACAUUCCUAGGAUUAACAAAUUGCAAGUCACUCAAAUAUUAAAAAUUCUAACACGUGUAUUUUCAUUUAAGACCAUUUAUUCUUCCGGUGUUUGGGUAGGAAGGACUAUAGGAACUAAAAACGGUUUUUCCAAAUUACAUGACUAAAAAAUUUAAUUUUGAAUUUAGUGGACCAAAACAGAUUUACCUCAAAUUUAUAGAAUUAAAAACAUAUUCAAAAACAUAUUCAAACAUUAAACUUUGUACAAUAUUAAUUGAUCUUAAUUUAAGUCUGAAUUUUGAAAUUUGAAUUUGAACAUACUAUUUCGAUAAAAAAAAAUUAAUUUAUUUCCCUUCAAUAUAAUACAAUAUUUAUUUUUAAUAAUAAGAAUAUUUAUUAUUCUUGUUUACAAAUUUUGUUUAAAUUUAAAAAUACUUAUCUCUAUAAUUUUGUCCCAAAAUUAAAAAAAAAAUGUGUACUUUCGAAAAUAGAGAGAAGAUACAUGAAAAGUACACAGACUAGCAAAAUCUUAAAAAUCAAAGUAUCCUAUUUAUUUGCCUUGUUUCUUUGUUUACAAAAGUUGAGAGUUUAUGAGUUUUAUUUGAACUCCUACUUAUAUAUUCUUCUUUCGGAUUACGUAUUUGAUUUGCAGACAGUAAUUGUAGGAGGAGCUGACACAACCAGUACCUCUCUUACAUGGGCAAUGUGUUUGAUUUUAAAAAACCCAUAUGUGUUGGAAAAAGUUAAAGCUGAAUUUGACAUCCAAGUUGGGAAAGAGAAUUGCAUAAGCGAGUCUGAUAUAAGUAAGUUAACAUACCUUCAAGCCAUGGUCAAAGAAACUUUAAGAUUGUACCCUCCAGGUCCUCUCUCGGGACCUCGUGAAUUCACUGAGAAUUGCACUUUAAGUGGCUACAAUAUCGAAAAGGGAACUCGCCUAAUUACAAAUCUUUGGAAGAUUCACACAGAUCUUAAUGUUUGGUCAGAUCCAUUAGAGUUUAAACCAGAAAGGUUUCUUACCACUCACAAAGACAUUGACAUUAGGGGUCAUCAUUUUGAGCUACUACCAUUUGGAAGUGGUAGAAGAAUUUG